ensembl:lncRNA
CCUCAUUGGCUUAUAAAACCUUGGCUGGGUGUUCCUUUGGCUUGCAUUGAAGCAGAAAAAAUAGUUUUGCAACAUGUGGGACUGAAGUUCUUACUCUGCUAUUUGCUAGGAAUUUAUUUGCUAAAAAGAAAUUCAAUGCAGGCUUUUCUGAUAGCAAACAAAAAUAUAUGUCUCGCUUAAGUUUCCCCAGAUGAAUUGUAAAAUAUAACUUAAUAUGCACAUGCAUCUGUUCUGUGGAAACUACAGACAGGAGGAAAAUUAUAUACCUGACCUGCUCUAGGAUUACAAGAGCCCCCAUUCCUGUUACACGACAGAGGUCAGAAUUUACUGGCAUCAGCGGCAGCUGCUACAGAGAGCAAAGCACUGAGCUCUGGUUGCCUUUUGAGAAAAGGACUUCUCCUGCUGGCUUUUUUUUUUAUCUGAAGAGGGCAUCACUUCCUUCAGGAUGUCAGAAAAGACUUCAGGCUACAUAUUUCCAAAAAAAAGGAAUGGAGCUGACUGCUGUUUCUAUUUUAUAUCCUUCACCCAAAUAUUUUUCUAUCAUAUAAAGUUCUAACAAGUUCUUCACAAAUACAAAAUCCCUUACAUAUAUGUCUUGCAUCUUCCUCUAAUUUGCCCAAUCUGUUGCUCUCAUUAUAGCAGAACCUGCAGCUUAGGCUUCACUUCAAACUGCUGUUCACAGAGAUCUGUUUCAAAUCUAUCCUCCAAUCAUUUGAAAAUUCUUACUUCUCUG